rnacentral:rRNA from 1 species
UACGGAGGGUGCGAGCGUUGUCCGGAAUCACUGGGCGUAAAGGGCGCGUAGGUGGCGCGGGAAGUCAACGGUGAAAGUUCGGGGCUCAACCCUGAAUCGGCCGUCGAUACUCCCGGGCUCGAGCACUGUAGAGGCAGAUGGAAUUCCGGGUGUAGCGGUGGAAUGCGUAGAGAUCCGGAAGAACACCGGUGGCGAAGGCGGGCUGCUGGGCAGUUGCUGACACUGAGGCGCGACAGCGUGGGGAGCAAACAGG